CCUACGGGUGGCAGCAGUGAGGAAUAUUGGUCAAUGGACGAGAGUCUGAACCAGCCAAGUAGCGUGAAGGAUGACUGCCCUAUGGGUUGUAAACUUCUUUUAUAUGGGAAUAAAAUGUUCCACGUGUGGGAUUUUGUAUGUACCAUAUGAAUAAGGAUCGGCUAACUCCGUGCCAGCAGCCGCGGUAAUACGGAGGAUCCGAGCGUUAUCCGGAUUUAUUGGGUUUAAAGGGAGCGUAGGUGGAUUGUUAAGUCAGUUGUGAAAGUUUGCGGCUCAACCGUAAAAUUGCAGUUGAAGCUGGCAGUCUUGAGUACAGUAGAGGUGGGCGGAAUUCGUGGUGUAGCGGUGAAAUGCUUAGAUAUCACGAAGAACUCCGAUUGCGAAGGCAGUUCACUGGACUGCAACUGACACUGAGGCUCGAAAGUGUGGGUAUCAAACAGGAUUAGAUACCCGUGUAGUC
rnacentral:rRNA from 1 species